rnacentral:misc_RNA from 1 species
AAGUCGUAACAAGGUUUCCGUAGGUGAACCUGCGGAAGGAUCAUUACGUUCAGUAGCCUAGCUACUGUCAGUGGGGUUCGUUAGUCUGCAUGGCUUAAACGCCGAUGAGCAGCAGGCCCCCUGUCUUCACCCUUGUUUUUUGCGUACCUAUGUUUCCUCGGCGGGCUUGCCCGCCGGCUGGACAAACCUAUAACCUAUUUAAUUUUCAAUCAGCGUCUGAAAUAAUUUUAAUAAUUACAACUUUCAACAACGGAUCUCUUGGUUCUG